AACGAACGCUGGCGGCAUGCCUAACACAUGCAAGUCGAACGAGACCUUCGGGUCUAGUGGCGCACGGGGGCGUAACGCGGGGGAACCUGCCCUUAGGUUAGGAAUAACUCCCCGAAAGGGGUGCUAAUACCGGAUAAUGUCUUCGGACCAAAGAUUUAUCGCCUUUGGAUGGGCCCGCGUUGGAUUAGCUAGUUGGUAGUGUAAAAGCCUACCAAGGCGACGAUCCAUAGCUGGUCUGAGAGGAAGAUCAGCAACGCUGGGACUGAGACACGGCCCAGACUCCGACGGGAGGCAGCAGUGGAGAAUAUUGGACGAUGGGCGAAAGCCUGAUCCAGCAAUGCCGCGUAAGUGAUGAAGGCCUUAGGGUUGUAAAGCUCUUUUACCCGGGAUGAUAAUGACAGUACCGGGAGAAUAAGCUCCGGCUAACUCCGUG
rnacentral:rRNA from 1 species